UGCUGAUGGCAGAUGUCGGGUCUG
rnacentral:miRNA from 1 species